rnacentral:rRNA from 1 species
UACGGAGGUGGCGGGCGUUGUCCGGAUUCAUUGGGUUUAAAGGGAGCGUGGGCGGCUGUUUAAGUCAGUGCUGAAAUACCCCGGCUUAAACGGGGGGGUGGCAUUGAUACUGGACAGCUUGAGUGCUAACGAGGCAGGCGGAAUUGAAGGUGUAGCGGUGAAAUGCAUAGAUAUCGUCAAGAACACCGAUCGUGAAGACAGCUUGCCAGGGAGCCACUGACGCUGAGGCAAGAAAGGGUUGGGAUCAAACAGG